CUUUCUGUUUUGGGUGAUCUAUGUAUCAGAAAUACAUCAAAGGUUUUUAUAAGGGGAAUUGGUUCAGAUUAGAAAUGUAUCAUUUGGGUUUAUACGGGAAAUCAAUCCUAGAAAGUUGUGAAAGCCUUCCACUGGAUUGAUAAUGUGACAGAUACAGCUAAUUUUUCAAUGCAAAGCCAAUUUUACAUUACCCAAAACUAGGCCCUCUCUUGUGUUUCAAUUAUUAAGAAAGUGCUUUUUGUUUUGGGCAUUGUAUGUUUUGGGCACUCCAUUUAGAAAUCCACCUUCUCCAAGAAAAAGCACAAUUGUCUGUGGAAGAGCCAUUAGCUGACCAAUUUGAUAUCACCCAAAACUAAGCUCUCUCUUGUGUUCUCUUGAUGGUCAGAAAGUGCUUCCUGUUUUGGGUGUUAUCGAUUGGAGAAUUCAACUUUGCAGCAAAGGGAUGAUUUAUAUUUGUUUCAGACUGAUUAUGUAGCACCCAAAACGGGGCUCUCUCUUGUGACUGAAUUAUGAUGAGAAAGUGCUUUCUGUUUUGGGCAUUCUGGCCAUCAGAUAUACGACAUGGAAUUGGAUGUUGAGAGGCAGCUUGUGAAAAAAAGGCAUGGAGGCUUAUCAUCCGUGUCAGAAAUUUAUUAGUGGUGUUUAUGUGGGGAAUUACCUCUGGGAGCUGGAAAAAAAGAAGUUGAGAAGGCCUUCCACUGGAUUGAUAAUGUGACAGAUACAGCUGAUUUUUCAAUGAAAAGCCAACUCUACAAAGCUGCAGAUAAUUUUAUUUAAGGUAUUAUUACUUUCUACUAUUUAACAUCUAAGAGUUUCCUCUGGUUGCUAGUUUCUACCCUGGAUAUCACUAAUGUUAAUUAGGAAGUCUGUCCCUUGCCCCACCCAGACAGGUGACUGCAAAACAAUAGUGUCUUAAUUAUAUGCAUACCGCUUGGCAAUUGAUUGGCUAAUGGUCUUCUAGGAUCUACAGAUAUAAGUGCCAGAUCUAGGGAAGGCAAUCCACAGUCUCCAGCAGAAAGCACUGAAGCUCCUCAAGUGACCCUCUGCAAGAUGUUUCUUGUACACUCCAAUAUUACUCCAAUGGGUUUGGAGUCAAAUCUUCAAGGGCCUUGCAAAAAAAAUCCUCUGCAGAGUAAAAGAACCAACAGUGGAAAGGGACUGAAGAUUCCUACAGGCUAGUUAUGCAUCACCCAGAACAAGGCUCUCUUCUUUUGACCUUCAUGGAUGAUAUACGACAUGGAAUUGGAUGUUGAGAGGCAGCUUGUGAAAAAAAGGCAUGGAGGCUUAUCAUCCAUGUCAGAAAUUUAUUAGUGGUGUUUAUGUGGGGAAUUACCUCUGGGAGCUGGAAAAAAAGAAGUUGAGAAGGCCUUCUACUGGAUUGAUAAUGUGACAGAUACAUCUGAUUUUUCAAUGAAAAGCCAACUCUACAAAGCUGCAGAUAAUUUUAUUUAAGAUAUAAGUGCCAGAUCUAGGGAAGGCAAUCCACAGUCUCCAGCAGAAAGCACUGAAGCUCCUCAAGUAACCUCUGCAAAGAUGUUUCUUGUACACUCCAAUAUUACUCCAAUGGGUUUGGAGUCAAAUCUUCAAGGGCCUUGCAAAAAAAAAUCCUCUGCAGAGUAAAAGAACCAACAGUGGAAAGGGACUGAAGAUUCAUACAGGCUAGUUAUGCAUCACCCAGAACAAGGCUCUCUUCUUUUGACCUUCAGGGAUGGAUCUACAGAUAUAAGUGCCAGAUCUAGGGAAGGCAAUCCACAGUCUCCAGCAGAAAGCACUGAAGCUCCUCAAGUGACCUCUGCAAGAUGUUUCUUGUACACUCCAAUAUUACUCCAAUGGGUUUGGAGUCAAAUCUUCAAGGGCCUUGCAAAAAAAAAUCCUCUGCAGAGUAAAAGAACCAACAGUGGAAAGGGACUGAAGAUUCCUACAGGCUGAUUAUGCAUCACCCAGAACAAGGCUCUCUUCUUUUGACCUUCAUGGAUGGUGAGAAAGUGCUUUCUGUUUUGGGUGAUCUAUGUAUCAGAAAUACAUCAAAGGUUUUUAUAAGGGGAAUUGGUUCAGAUUAGAAAUGUAUCAUUUGGGUUUAUACGGGAAAUCAAUCCUAGAAAGUUGUGAAAGCCUUCCAAUGGAUUGAUAAUGUGUCAGAUACAACUGAUUUUCAAUGCAAAGCCAAUUUUACAUUACCCAAAACUAGGCCCUCUCUUGUGUUUCAAUUAUUAAGAAGUGCUUUUUGUUUUGGGCAUUGGUAUGUUUUGGGCACUCCAUUUAGAAAUCCACCUUCUCCAAGAAAAAGCACAAUUGUCUGUGGAAGAGCCGUUAGCUGACCAAUUUGAUAUCACCCAAAACUAAGCUCUCUCUUGUGUUCUCUUGAUGGUCAGAAAGUGCUUCCUGUUUUGGGCGUUAUCGAUUGGAGAAUUCAAACUUUGCAGCAAUGGGAUGAUUUAUAUUUGUUUCAGACUGAUUAUGUAGCACCCAAAACGGGGCUCUCUCUUGUGACUGAAUUAUGAUGAGAAAGUGCUUUCUGUUUUGGGCGUUCUGGCCAUCAGAUAUACGACAUGGAAAUUGGAUGUUGAGAGGCAGCUUGUGAAAAAAAGGCAUGGAGGCUUAUCAUCCGUGUCAGAAAUUUAUUAGUGGUGUUUAUGUGGGGGAAUUACCUGUGGGAGCUGGAAAAAAAGAAGUUGAGAAGGCCUUCUACUGGAUUGAUAAUGUGACAGAUACAUCUGAUUUUUCAAUGAAAGCCAACUCUACAAAGCUGCAGAUAAUUUUAUUUAAGGUAUUAUUACUUUCUACUAUUUAACAUCUAAGAGUUUCCUCUGGUUGCUAGUUUCUACCCUGGAUAUCACUAAUGUUAAUUAGGAAGUCUGUCCCUUGCCCCACCCAGACAGGUGACUGCAAAACAAUAGUGUCUUAAUUAUAUGCAUACCGCUUGGCAAUUGAUUGGCUAAUGGUCUUCUAGGAUCUACAGAUAUAAGUGCCAGAUCUAGGGAAGGCAAUCCACAGUCUCCAGCAGAAAGCACUGAAGCUCCUCAAGUGACCUCUGCAAGAUGUUUCUUGUACACUCCAAUAUUACUCCAAUGGGUUUGGAGUCAAAUCUUCAAGGGCCUUGCAAAAAAAAUCCUCUGCAGAGUAAAAGAACCAACAGUGGAAAGGGACUGAAGAUUCCUACAGGCUGAUUAUGCAUCACCCAGAACAAGGCUCUCUUCUUUUGACCUUCAUGGAUGGUGAGAAAGUGCUUUCUGUUUUGGGUGAUCUAUGUAUCAGAAAUACAUCAAAGGUUUUUAUAAGGGGAAUUGGUUCAGAUUAGAAAUGUAUCAUUUGGGUUUAUACGGGAAAUCAAUCCUAGAAAGUUGUGAAAGCCUUCCAAUGGAUUGAUAAUGUGUCAGAUACAACUGAUUUUCAAUGCAAAGCCAAUUUUACAUUACCCAAAACUAGGCCCUCUCUUGUGUUUCAAUUAUUAAGAAAGUGCUUUUUGUUUUGGGCAUUGUAUGUUUUGGGCACUCCAUUUAGAAAUCCACCUUCUCCAAGAAAAAGCACAAUUGUCUGUGGAAGAGCCGUUAGCUGACCAAUUUGAUAUCACCCAAAACUAAGCUCUCUCUUGUGUUCUCUUGAUGGUCAGAAAGUGCUUCCUGUUUUGGGCGUUAUCGAUUGGAGAAUUCAACUUUGCAGCAAUGGGAUGAUUUAUAUUUGUUUCAGACUGAUUAUGUAGCACCCAAACGGGGCUCUCUCUUGUGACUGAAUUAUGAUGAGAAAGUGCUUUCUGUUUUGGGCGUUCUGGCCAUCAGAUAUACGACAUGGAAUUGGAUGUUGAGAGGCAGCUUGUGAAAAAAAGGCAUGGAGGCUUAUCAUCCGUGUCAGAAAUUUAUUAGUGGUGUUUAUGUAAGGGGAAUUACCUCUGGGAGCUGGAAAAAAAGAAGUUGAGAAGGCCUUCUACUGGAUUGAUAAUGUGACAGAUACAGCUGAUUUUUCAAUGCAAAGCCAACUCUACAAACCUGCAGAUAAUUUUAUUUAAGGUAUUAUUACUUUCUACUAUUUAACAUCUAAGAGUUUCCUCUGGUUGCUAGUUUCUACCCUGGAUAUCACUAAUGUUAAUUAGGAAGUCUGUCCCUUGCCCCGCCCAGACAGGUGACUGCAAAACAAUAGUGUCUUAAUUAUAUGCAUACCGCUUGGCAAUUGAUUGGCUAAUGGUCUUCUAGGAUCUACAGAUAUAAGUGCCAGAUCUAGGGAAGGCAAUCCACAGUCUCCAGCAGAAAGCACUGAAGCUCCUCAAGUGACCUCUGCAAGAUGUUUCUUGUACACUCCAAUAUUACUCCAAUGGGUUUGGAGUCAAAUCUUCAAGGGCCUUGCAAAAAAAAUCCUCUGCAGAGUAAAAGAACCAACAGUGGAAAGGGACUGAAGAUUCCUACAAGCUGAUUAUGCAUCACCCAGAACAAGGCUCUCUUCUUUUGACCUUCAUGGAUGGAUCUACAGAUAUAAGUGCCAGAUCUAGGGAAGGCAAUCCACAGUCUCCAGCAGAAAGCACUGAAGCUCCUCAAGUGACCUCUGCAAGAUGUUUCUUGUACACUCCAAUAUUACUCCAAUGGGUUUGGAGUCAAAUCUUCAAGGGCCUUGCAAAAAAAAUCCUCUGCAGAGUAAAAGAACCAACAGUGGAAAGGGACUGAAGAUUCCUACAGGCUGAUUAUGCAUCACCCAGAACAAGGCUCUCUUCUUUUGACCUUCAUGGAUGGUGAGAAAGUGCUUUCUGUUUUGGGUGAUCUAUGUAUCAGAAAUACAUCAAAGGUUUUUAUAAGGGGAAUUGGUUCAGAUUAGAAAUGUAUCAUUUGGGUUUAUACGGGAAAUCAAUCCUAGAAAGUUGUGAAAGCCUUCCAAUGGAUUGAUAAUGUGUCAGAUACAACUGAUUUUCAAUGCAAAGCCAAUUUUACAUUACCCAAAACUAGGCCCUCUCUUGUGUUUCAAUUAUUAAGAAAGUGCUUUUUGUUUUGGGCAUUGUAUGUUUUGGGCACUCCAUUUAGAAAUCCACCUUCUCCAAGAAAAAGCACAAUUGUCUGUGGAAGAGCCGUUAGCUGACCAAUUUGAUAUCACCCAAAACUAAGCUCUCUCUUGUGUUCUCUUGAUGGUCAGAAAGUGCUUCCUGUUUUGGGCGUUAUCGAUUGGAGAAUUCAACUUUGCAGCAAUGGGAUGAUUUAUAUUUGUUUCAGACUGAUUAUGUAGCACCCAAAACGGGGCUCUCUCUUGUGACUGAAUUAUGAUGAGAAAGUGCUUUCUGUUUUGGGCGUUCUGGCCAUCAGAUAUACGACAUGGAAUUGGAUGUUGAGAGGCAGCUUGUGAAAAAAAGGCAUGGAGGCUUAUCAUCCGUGUCAGAAAUUUAUUAGUGGUGUUUAUGUAGGGGAAUUACCUCUGGGAGCUGGAAAAAAAGAAGUUGAGAAGGCCUUCUACUGGAUUGAUAAUGUGACAGAUACAGCUGAUUUUUCAAUGCAAAGCCAACUCUACAAAGCUGCAGAUAAUUUUAUUUAAGGUAUUAUUACUUUCUACUAUUUAACAUCUAAGAGUUUCCUCUGGUUGCUAGUUUCUACCCUGGAUAUCACUAAUGUUAAUUAGGAAGUCUGUCCCUUGCCCCGCCCAGACAGGUGACUGCAAAACAAUAGUGUCUUAAUUAUAUGCAUACCGCUUGGCAAUUGAUUGGCUAAUGGUCUUCUAGGAUCUACAGAUAUAAGUGCCAGAUCUAGGGAAGGCAAUCCACAGUCUCCAGCAGAAAGCACUGAAGCUCCUCAAGUGACCUCUGCAAGAUGUUUCUUGUACACUCCAAUAUUACUCCAAUGGGUUUGGAGUCAAAUCUUCAAGGGCCUUGCAAAAAAAAUCCUCUGCAGAGUAAAAGAACCAACAGGGGAAAGGGACUGAAGAUUCCUACAAGCUGAUUAUGCAUCACCCAGAACAAGGCUCUCUUCUUUUGACCUUCAUGGAUGGAUCUACAGAUAUAAGUGCCAGAUCUAGGGAAGGCAAUCCACAGUCUCCAGCAGAAAGCACUGAAGCUCCUCAAGUGACCUCUGCAAGAUGUUUCUUGUACACUCCAAUAUUACUCCAAUGGGUUUGGAGUCAAAUCUUCAAGGGCCUUGCAAAAAAAAUCCUCUGCAGAGUAAAAGAACCAACAGGGGAAAGGGACUGAAGAUUCCUACAAGCUGAUUAUGCAUCACCCAGAACAAGGCUCUCUUCUUUUGACCUUCAUGGAUGGAUCUACAGAUAUAAGUGCCAGAUCUAGGGAAGGCAAUCCACAGUCUCCAGCAGAAAGCACUGAAGCUCCUCAAGUGACCUCUGCAAGAUGUUUCUUGUACACUCCAAUAUUACUCCAAUGGGUUUGGAGUCAAAUCUUCAAGGGCCUUGCAAAAAAAAUCCUCUGCAGAGUAAAAGAACCAACAGUGGAAAGGGACUGAAGAUUCCUACAAGCUGAUUAUGCAUCACCCAGAACAAGGCUCUCUUCUUUUGACCUUCAUGGAUGGAUCUACAGAUAUAAGUGCCAGAUCUAGGGAAGGCAAUCCACAGUCUCCAGCAGAAAGCACUGAAGCUCCUCAAGUGACCUCUGCAAGAUGUUUCUUGUACACUCCAAUAUUACUCCAAUGGGUUUGGAGUCAAAUCUUCAAGGGCCUUGCAAAAAAAAUCCUCUGCAGAGUAAAAGAACCAACAGGGGAAAGGGACUGAAGAUUCCUACAGGCUGAUUAUGCAUCACCCAGAACAAGGCUCUCUUCUUUUGACCUUCAUGGAUGGAUCUACAGAUAUAAGUGCCAGAUCUAGGGAAGGCAAUCCACAGUCUCCAGCAGAAAGCACUGAAGCUCCUCAAGUGACCUCUGCAAGAUGUUUCUUGUACACUCCAAUAUUACUCCAAUGGGUUUGGAGUCAAAUCUUCAAGGGCCUUGCAAAAAAAAUCCUCUGCAGAGUAAAAGAACCAACAGGGGAAAGGGACUGAAGAUUCCUACAAGCUGAUUAUGCAUCACCCAGAACAAGGCUCUCUUCUUUUGACCUUCAUGGAUGGAUCUACAGAUAUAAGUGCCAGAUCUAGGGAAGGCAAUCCACAGUCUCCAGCAGAAAGCACUGAAGCUCCUCAAGUGACCUCUGCAAGAUGUUUCUUGUACACUCCAAUAUUACUCCAAUGGGUUUGGAGUCAAAUCUUCAAGGGCCUUGCAAAAAAAAUCCUCUGCAGAGUAAAAGAACCAACAGUGGAAAGGGACUGAAGAUUCCUACAGGCUGAUUAUGCAUCACCCAGAACAAGGCUCUCUUCUUUUGACCUUCAUGGAUGGUGAGAAAGUGCUUUCUGUUUUGGGUGAUCUAUGUAUCAGAAAUACAUCAAAGGUUUUUAUAAGGGGAAUUGGUUCAGAUUAGAAAUGUAUCAUUUGGGUUUAUACGGGAAAUCAAUCCUAGAAAGUUGUGAAAGCCUUCCAAUGGAUUGAUAAUGUGUCAGAUACAACUGAUUUUCAAUGCAAAGCCAAUUUUACAUUACCCAAAACUAGGCCCUCUCUUGUGUUUCAAUUAUUAAGAAAGUGCUUUUUGUUUUGGGCAUUGUAUGUUUUGGGCACUCCAUUUAGAAAUCCACCUUCUCCAAGAAAAAGCACAAUUGUCUGUGGAAGAGCCGUUAGCUGACCAAUUUGAUAUCACCCAAAACUAAGCUCUCUCUUGUGUUCUCUUGAUGGUCAGAAAGUGCUUCCUUUUUGGGCGUUAUCGAUUGGAGAAUUCAACUUUGCAGCAAUGGGAUGAUUUAUAUUUGUUUCAGACUGAUUAUGUAGCACCCAAAACGGGGCUCUCUCUUGUGACUGAAUUAUGAUGAGAAAGUGCUUUCUGUUUUGGGCGUUCUGGCCAUCAGAUAUACGACAUGGAAUUGGAUGUUGAGAGGCAGCUUGUGAAAAAAAGGCAUGGAGGCUUAUCAUCCGUGUCAGAAAUUUAUUAGUGGUGUUUAUGUAGGGGAAUUACCUCUGGGAGCUGGAAAAAAAGAAGUUGAGAAGGCCUUCUACUGGAUUGAUAAUGUGACAGAUACAGCUGAUUUUUCAAUGCAAAGCCAACUCUACAAAGCUGCAGAUAAUUUUAUUUAAGGUAUUAUUACUUUCUACUAUUUAACAUCUAAGAGUUUCCUCUGGUUGCUAGUUUCUACCCUGGAUAUCACUAAUGUUAAUUAGGAAGUCUGUCCCUUGCCCCGCCCAGACAGGUGACUGCAAAACAAUAGUGUCUUAAUUAUAUGCAUACCGCUUGGCAAUUGAUUGGCUAAUGGUCUUCUAGGAUCUACAGAUAUAAGUGCCAGAUCUAGGGAAGGCAAUCCACAGUCUCCAGCAGAAAGCACUGAAGCUCCUCAAGUGACCUCUGCAAGAUGUUUCUUGUACACUCCAAUAUUACUCCAAUGGGUUUGGAGUCAAAUCUUCAAGGGCCUUGCAAAAAAAAUCCUCUGCAGAGUAAAAGAACCAACAGGGGAAAGGGACUGAAGAUUCCUACAAGCUGAUUAUGCAUCACCCAGAACAAGGCUCUCUUCUUUUGACCUUCAUGGAUGGAUCUACAGAUAUAAGUGCCAGAUCUAGGGAAGGCAAUCCACAGUCUCCAGCAGAAAGCACUGAAGCUCCUCAAGUGACCUCUGCAAGAUGUUUCUUGUACACUCCAAUAUUACUCCAAUGGGUUUGGAGUCAAAUCUUCAAGGGCCUUGCAAAAAAAAUCCUCUGCAGAGUAAAAGAACCAACAGGGGAAAGGGACUGAAGAUUCCUACAAGCUGAUUAUGCAUCACCCAGAACAAGGCUCUCUUCUUUUGACCUUCAUGGAUGGAUCUACAGAUAUAAGUGCCAGAUCUAGGGAAGGCAAUCCACAGUCUCCAGCAGAAAGCACUGAAGCUCCUCAAGUGACCUCUGCAAGAUGUUUCUUGUACACUCCAAUAUUACUCCAAUGGGUUUGGAGUCAAAUCUUCAAGGGCCUUGCAAAAAAAAUCCUCUGCAGAGUAAAAGAACCAACAGUGGAAAGGGACUGAAGAUUCCUACAAGCUGAUUAUGCAUCACCCAGAACAAGGCUCUCUUCUUUUGACCUUCAUGGAUGGAUCUACAGAUAUAAGUGCCAGAUCUAGGGAAGGCAAUCCACAGUCUCCAGCAGAAAGCACUGAAGCUCCUCAAGUGACCUCUGCAAGAUGUUUCUUGUACACUCCAAUAUUACUCCAAUGGGUUUGGAGUCAAAUCUUCAAGGGCCUUGCAAAAAAAAUCCUCUGCAGAGUAAAAGAACCAACAGUGGAAAGGGACUGAAGAUUCCUACAGGCUGAUUAUGCAUCACCCAGAACAAGGCUCUCUUCUUUUGACCUUCAUGGAUGGUGAGAAAGUGCUUUCUGUUUUGGGUGAUCUAUGUAUCAGAAAUACAUCAAAGGUUUUUAUAAGGGGAAUUGGUUCAGAUUAGAAAUGUAUCAUUUGGGUUUAUACGGGAAAUCAAUCCUAGAAAGUUGUGAAAGCCUUCCAAUGGAUUGAUAAUGUGUCAGAUACAACUGAUUUUCAAUGCAAAGCCAAUUUUACAUUACCCAAAACUAGGCCCUCUCUUGUGUUUCAAUUAUUAAGAAAGUGCUUUUUGUUUUGGGCAUUGUAUGUUUUGGGCACUCCAUUUAGAAAUCCACCUUCUCCAAGAAAAAGCACAAUUGUCUGUGGAAGAGCCGUUAGCUGACCAAUUUGAUAUCACCCAAAACUAAGCUCUCUCUUGUGUUCUCUUGAUGGUCAGAAAGUGCUUCCUGUUUUGGGCGUUAUCGAUUGGAGAAUUCAACUUUGCAGCAAUGGGAUGAUUUAUAUUUGUUUCAGACUGAUUAUGUAGCACCCAAAACGGGGCUCUCUCUUGUGACUGAAUUAUGAUGAGAAAGUGCUUUCUGUUUUGGGCGUUCUGGCCAUCAGAUAUACGACAUGGAAUUGGAUGUUGAGAGGCAGCUUGUGAAAAAAAGGCAUGGAGGCUUAUCAUCCGUGUCAGAAAUUUAUUAGUGGUGUUUAUGUGGGGAAUUACCUCUGGGAGCUGGAAAAAAAGAAGUUGAGAAGGCCUUCUACUGGAUUGAUAAUGUGACAGAUACAGCUGAUUUUUCAAUGCAAAGCCAACUCUACAAAGCUGCAGAUAAUUUUAUUUAAGGUAUUAUUACUUUCUACUAUUUAACAUCUAAGAGUUUCCUCUGGUUGCUAGUUUCUACCCUGGAUAUCACUAAUGUUAAUUAGGAAGUCUGUCCCUUGCCCCGCCCAGACAGGUGACUGCAAAACAAUAGUGUCUUAAUUAUAUGCAUACCGCUUGGCAAUUGAUUGGCUAAUGGUCUUCUAGGAUCUACAGAUAUAAGUGCCAGAUCUAGGGAAGGCAAUCCACAGUCUCCAGCAGAAAGCACUGAAGCUCCUCAAGUGACCUCUGCAAGAUGUUUCUUGUACACUCCAAUAUUACUCCAAUGGGUUUGGAGUCAAAUCUUCAAGGGCCUUGCAAAAAAAAUCCUCUGCAGAGUAAAAGAACCAACAGUGGAAAGGGACUGAAGAUUCCUACAGGCUGAUUAUGCAUCACCAGAACAAGGCUCUCUUCUUUUGACCUUCAUGGAUGGUGAGAAAGUGCUUUCUGUUUUGGGUGAUCUAUGUAUCAGAAAUACAUCAAAGGUUUUUAUAAGGGGAAUUGGUUCAGAUUAGAAAUGUAUCAUUUGGGUUUAUACAGGAAAUCAAUCCUAGAAAGUUGUGAAAGCCUUCCAAUGGAUUGAUAAUGUGUCAGAUACAACUGAUUUUCAAUGCAAAGCCAAUUUUACAUUACCCAAAACUAGGCCCUCUCUUGUGUUUCAAUUAUUAAGAAAAUGCUUUUUGUUUUGGGCAUUGUAUGUUUUGGGCACUCCAUUUAGAAAUCCACCUUCUCCAAGAAA